rnacentral:rRNA from 1 species
GUAACGGCGAGUGAAGCGGCAACAGCUCAAAUUUGAAAUCUGGCUCUCGGGCCCGAGUUGUAAUUUGUAGAGGAUGCUUUUGGUGAGGUGCCUUCCGAGUUCCCUGGAACGGGACGCCAUAGAGGGUGAGAGCCCCGUCUGGUUGGACACCGAUCCUCUGUAAAGCUCCUUCGACGAGUCGAGUAGUUUGGGAAUGCUGCUCUAAAUGGGAGGUAUAUGUCUUCUAAAGCUAAAUACCGGCCAGAGACCGAUAGCGCACAAGUAGAGUGAUCGAAAGAUGAAAAGAACUUUGAAAAGAGAGUUAAACAGUACGUGAAAUUGUUGAAAGGGAAGCGCUUGUGACCAGACUUGGGCUUGGUUGAUCAUCCGGGGUUCUCCCCGGUGCACUCUUCCGGCCCAGGCCAGCAUCAGUUCGCCCUGGGGGACAAAGGCUUCGGGAAUGUGGCUCUCUCCGGGGAGUGUUAUAGCCCGUUGCGUAAUACCCUGUGGCGGACUGAGGUUCGCGCAUUCGCAAGGAUGCUGGCGUAAUGGUCAUCAGUGACCCGUCUUGAAACACGGACCAAGGAGUCGUCUUCGUAUGCGAGUGUUCGGGUGUCAAACCCCUACGCGAAAUGAAAGUGAACGCAGGUGAGAGCUUCGGCGCAUCAUCGACCGAUCCUGAUGUUAUCGGAUGGAUUUGAGUAAGAGCAUACGGGGCCGGACCCGAAAGAAGGUGAACUAUGCCUGUGUAGGGUGAAGCCAGAGGAAACUCUGGUGGAGGCUCGCAGCGGUUCUGACGUGCAAAUCGAUCGUCAAACAUGGGCAUGGGGGCGAAAGACUAAUCGAACCUUCUAGUAGCUGGUUUCCGCCGAAGUUUCCCUCAGGAUAGCAGUGUUGAACUCAGUUUUAUGAGGUAAAGCGAAUGAUUAGGGACUCGGGGGCGCUAUUUAGCCUUCAUCCAUUCUCAAACUUUAAAUAUGUAAGAAGCCCUUGUUGCUUAAUUGAACGUGGGCAU